GCGCCCGUAGCUCAAUUGGCGGAGCGGUGGGAUGGUACCCCACGGUCCCGGGUUCAAAUCCCCGCGGACGCU